UGGGGAAUUUUGGACAAUGGGCGAAAGCCUGAUCCAGCAAUGCCGCGUGUGUGAAGAAGGCCUUCGGGUUGUAAAGCACUUUUGUCCGGAAAGAAAUCCUUGGCUCUAAUACAGUCGGGGGAUGACGGUACCGGAAGAAUAAGCACCGGCUAACUACGUGCCAGCAGCCGCGGUAAUACGUAGGGUGCAAGCGUUAAUCGGAAUUACUGGGCGUAAAGCGUGCGCAGGCGGUUUGCUAAGACCGAUGUGAAAUCCCCGGGCUCAACCUGGGAACUGCAUUGGUGACUGGCAGGCUAGAGUAUGGCAGAGGGGGGUAGAAUUCCACGUGUAGCAGUGAAAUGCGUAGAGAUGUGGAGGAAUACCGAUGGCGAAGGCAGCCCCCUGGGCCAAUACUGACGCUCAUGCACGAAAGCGUGGGGAGCAAACAGGAUUAGAUACCCUGGUAGUCCACGCCCUAAACGAUGUCAACUAGUUGUUGGGGAUUCAUUUCCUAGUAACGUAGCUAACGCGUGAAGUUGACCGCCUGGGGAGUACGGUCGCAAGUAAUCAAUCAAAUGAAUUGACGGGGUCAUAGCUGUUUCCU
rnacentral:rRNA from 1 species